rnacentral:lncRNA from 1 species
UUAAUUAAGUAUAAAUUUUAAUUUUCUAAUAUUGAUCAUUUAUAUAUAAAUUGUAUAAUAAAAAAUAAAAGAAAGAUGAAUAGAGUUUAAGUUAAUAUUUAAUAAAUUUAGUUGUAAAAAUUACAUGAAGUACUAACUAAAUAUGUAAAACUAAACAAUAUAUUCAAAUUUUGAAGUCAAAGUAUCAUUAAGUGACUCAAAUCUAACAUAUAAAAAUGUUAGCUAGUAAAAAUAAAAUUUUGAAAGGUUUGAUAACUGAUUCAAAAUGGUUCGUAGUUCAGAAGAGUUUUGUACGUUUUUACUUUAAUUUUAAUAUCAAACCUCAAUAUCAUAUUUAUAGUCUGAUGAGUGAUUAAUUUCAUAUUUAAAAUAUUUUGGAAUAUACAAAAUAUAAUUGGUCAACUUUUAAUUUUAACAAAAAUAUAUUAGAUGGCACAACAUGUUCUUUCCUAAAAUAAAAUUAGUAAUUGCAUAAAACCGAUCAAUGCUCAAUUCUGUCUUUGUCUGGAAUAAAAUUAAAAUAUAAAAAAGAUAAAUUACGCUUUUGAUCCUCAAACUAUAAAACACGUGAUACUCUAGUCUUCGAAUUUAAAUGGAUUAUAUUUUCUUGCUCAGAGUAUGAGGCACGUGAAGCUUUAGUUCUCAAACUUUAAUGAGUUGUAAUUUCAGGCGGGAACCAUAAAGUAUAUGAUAUUUAAUUCUCAACUUUCACUACUUCUAUAAAUAUAAUUUAUUAUUCUUAUAAUUAUUUUUUUAUUUUUUAUAUUUUUAUUAUUAUAUUUUUACUAUAGCAGCUAUUUUUUUAUUUUUUUAACUUUAUUUGUUUCUACAUAAUCGAUCAAUCGCAAUGCGCUGGUACCUUCACUGGUAACCACAUGCUUCUCCAGUAGCCUCCCUAUUUCCAAUUACAUUAACUCAAAAUACAAGUUAAAGAGCUAGAAGCCUAGAAUUGGUGUUUGAUGUUCUUGGCCGAGCAGGUGAUUUAGGGGUCUCUCAAAGUGGACCACAUCUUGCACAGGUUGUCCUUCCUUGAUAGGGAGCAUCAAAGUGGCUUUAGGCAGGGAAAUUCAUUAUAGCUUCAUGUUCAUUCAUAAGUUUCUCAGUAAUUUACACUUUUAAUUCUCAAAUUAUAAGGCGCGUGAUACUUAGAUGCUCAAAUUUAAAUUUGUUAUAAGGGUCCGCGCUUUACAGCGGAUAGAUAGUAUUUCAACAUAUGUGGUAUCUGUACACAUAUAUAUCCGGUGCACAUAUAUACUCGGUACAGAAUAUGCUUAAUUUAAUAGAUUCAUAGUUUUAAAAGAGAAAAUAAAUCUUUCUUGCACCUAGUAUAUACUAAUGUUUCAUACAUCGUACAGUUUAUUAAAUAAUUAAUGAAAUAUUUAAUAAUCAGUAGGACAACAUAAAAUAUAAUAUAAAAUACUUAAGUAAUUUAUUAUAGGAAAAACUUUAAAUACCUCCUGUGGUUUCGCACUUUUUUACUUUAGUAGCAAGUGGUUUAAAGUGUAUCAAGUUAAUUAGUACCAUGUAGUUUCGCACUUUUUCACUUUAGUACCCUAUGGUUUAAUAAGUUGAGCAUCGAUGGGAACUUUUCAAAAGAUUUUAUGAUAAAAUCAAAGUAAAAACAUACAGAAUUUUUCUAAACUACGAACCAUUUUGAAUUAGCUAUCCAACCUUUUAAAAUUUUAUUUUUACUAUCUAAUCAUUUUAUAUGUUAGAUCUCAAUAAGUUAAUGAUAUUUUGAUUUCAAAAUUUGAAUAUAUCAUUUAGUUUUACAGAUUUAAUUAGUACUUCAUGUAAUUUUCGCAACUAAAUUUAUUAAAUAAAUAGUUAACUUAAACUUCAUCUAUCACUUUUUUAUUUUUUAUUGUACAAUUUAUAUCUAAGUGAUCAAUAUUAUAAAAUUAAAAUUUAUAUUUAAUACAUUGAAUCUAAAC